UACGUAGGGACCAAGCGUUGUUCGGAUUUACUGGGCGUAAAGGGCGCGUAGGCGGCGUGGUAAGUCACUUGUGAAAUCUCUGAGCUUAACUCAGAACGGCCAAGUGAUACUGCUGUGCUAGAGUGCAGAAGGGGCAAUCGGAAUUCUUGGUGUAGCGGUGAAAUGCGUAGAUAUCGGGAGGAACACCAGUGGCGAAGGCGACUACCUGGCCUGUUCUUGACGCUGAGGCGCGAAAGCUAGGGGGAGCAAACGGGG
rnacentral:rRNA from 1 species